rnacentral:rRNA from 4 species
UGAAGAGUUUGAUCAUGGCUCAGAUUGAACGCUGGCGGCAGGCCUAACACAUGCAAGUCGAACGGUAACAGGAAGCAGCUUGCUGCUUUGCUGACGAGUGGCGGACGGGUGAGUAAUGUCUGGGAAACUGCCUGAUGGAGGGGGAUAACUACUGGAAACGGUGGCUAAUACCGCAUAACGUCGCAAGACCAAAGAGGGGGACCUUCGGGCCUCUUGCCAUCAGAUGUGCCCAGAUGGGAUUAGCUUGUUGGUGAGGUAACGGCUCACCAAGGCGACGAUCCCUAGCUGGUCUGAGAGGAUGACCAGCCACACUGGAACUGAGACACGGUCCAGACUCCUACGGGAGGCAGCAGUGGGGAAUAUUGCACAAUGGGCGCAAGCCUGAUGCAGCCAUGCCGCGUGUAUGAAGAAGGCCUUCGGGUUGUAAAGUACUUUCAGCGGGGAGGAAGGUGUUGUGGUUAAUAACCGCAGCAAUUGACGUUACCCGCAGAAGAAGCACCGGCUAACUCCGUGCCAGCAGCCGCGGUAAUACGGAGGGUGCAAGCGUUAAUCGGAAUUACUGGGCGUAAAGCGCACGCAGGCGGUCUGUCAAGUCGGAUGUGAAAUCCCCGGGCUCAACCUGGGAACUGCAUUCGAAACUGGCAGGCUUGAGUCUUGUAGAGGGGGGUAGAAUUCCAGGUGUAGCGGUGAAAUGCGUAGAGAUCUGGAGGAAUACCGGUGGCGAAGGCGGCCCCCUGGACAAAGACUGACGCUCAGGUGCGAAAGCGUGGGGAGCAAACAGGAUUAGAUACCCUGGUAGUCCACGCCGUAAACGAUGUCUACUUGGAGGUUGUGCCCUUGAGGCGUGGCUUCCGGAGCUAACGCGUUAAGUAGACCGCCUGGGGAGUACGGCCGCAAGGUUAAAACUCAAAUGAAUUGACGGGGGCCCGCACAAGCGGUGGAGCAUGUGGUUUAAUUCGAUGCAACGCGAAGAACCUUACCUGGUCUUGACAUCCACAGAACUUUCCAGAGAUGGAUUGGUGCCUUCGGGAACUGUGAGACAGGUGCUGCAUGGCUGUCGUCAGCUCGUGUUGUGAAAUGUUGGGUUAAGUCCCGCAACGAGCGCAACCCUUAUCCUUUGUUGCCAGCGGUCCGGCCGGGAACUCAAAGGAGACUGCCAGUGAUAAACUGGAGGAAGGUGGGGAUGACGUCAAGUCAUCAUGGCCCUUACGACCAGGGCUACACACGUGCUACAAUGGCGCAUACAAAGAGAAGCGACCUCGCGAGAGCAAGCGGACCUCAUAAAGUGCGUCGUAGUCCGGAUUGGAGUCUGCAACUCGACUCCAUGAAGUCGGAAUCGCUAGUAAUCGUGGAUCAGAAUGCCACGGUGAAUACGUUCCCGGGCCUUGUACACACCGCCCGUCACACCAUGGGAGUGGGUUGCAAAAGAAGUAGGUAGCUUAACCUUCGGGAGGGCGCUUACCACUUUGUGAUUCAUGACUGGGGUGAAGUCGUAACAAGGUAACCGUAGGGGAACCUGCGGUUGGAUCACCUCCUUACCUUAAAGAA